rnacentral:rRNA from 1 species
GGGAAUUUUUCGCAAUGGAGGAAAGUCUGACGGAGCAACGCCGCGUGUAUGAUGAAGGUCUUCGGAUUGUAAAGUACUUUUUUUGGGGAAGAAUGAAUGGUUUGAAAAUAUUGAGUCUAUAUGACGGUACCCAAGGAGGAAGCCCCGGCUAACUACGUGCCAGCAGCCGCGGUAAUACGUAGGGGGCGAGCGUUGUUCGGAAUUAUUGGGCGUAAAGGGCGCGUAGGCGGAUAGUUAAGUCCGGUGUGAAAGAUCAGGGGUCAACCCUGAGAGUGCAUCGGAAACUGGUUAUCUUGAGGACAGGAGAGGAAAGUGGAAUUCCACGUGUAGCGGUGAAAUGCGUAGAUAUGUGGAGGAACACCAGUGGCGAAGGCGACUUUCUGGACCGUAACUGACGCUGAGGCGCGAAAGCGUGGGGAGCAAACAGGAUUAGAUACCCUGGUAGUCCACGCCGUAAACGAUGAGUGCUAGGUGUAGAGGGUAUCGACCCCUUCUGUGCCGCAGCUAACAGCAAU